CCUACGGGUGGCAGCAGUGGGGAAUAUUGCACAAUGGGGGAAACCCUGAUGCAGCAACGCCGCGUGAGGGAGGAAGUAUUUCGGUAUGUAAAGCUCUAUCAGCAGGGAACAGAAAAGAAGGCACGUGGCCAAGAAGCCCCGGCUAACUACGUGCCAGCAGCCGCGGUAAUACGAAGGGGGCAAGUGUUAUCCGGAUUUACUGGGUGUAAAGGGAGGGUAGAUGGGAAGGCAAGUGAGAAGUGAAAACCCAAGGCUCAACCAGGGGACUGCUUUUGAAACUGUCAAACUAGAGUACGGGAGAGGUAAGAGGAAUUCGUGGUGUAGCGGUGAAAUGCGUAGAUAUUAGGAGGAACACCAGUGGCGAAGGCGUCUUACUGGACCGAAACUGACGUUGAGGCUCGAAAGCGUGGGGAGCAAACAGGAUUAGAUACCCGAGUAGUC
rnacentral:rRNA from 1 species